GUGGGGAAUCUUGCGCAAUGGGCGAAAGCCUGACGCAGCCAUGCCGCGUGAAUGAUGAAGGUCUUAGGAUUGUAAAAUUCUUUCACCGGGGACGACAAUGACGGUACCCGGAGAAGAAGCCCCGGCUAACUUCGUGCCAGCAGCCGCGGUAAUACGAAGGGGGCUAGCGUUGCUCGGAAUUACUGGGCGUAAAGGGCGCGUAGGCGGACAGUUUAGUCAGAGGUGAAAGCCCAGGGCUCAACCUUGGAAUUGCCUUUGAUACUGGCUGUCUUGAGUACGGGAGAGGUGAGUGGAACUCCGAGUGUAGGGGUGAAAUUCGUAGAUAUUCGGAAGAACACCAGUGGCGAAGGCGACUCACUGGCCCGUUACUGACGCUGAGGCGCGAAAGCGUGGGGAGCAAACAGGAUUAGAUACCCGAGUAGUCC
rnacentral:rRNA from 1 species